GUCUGCCAUCUUCAACUUUCAGAGUCUACUGACUGUAAUCUUGCUGCUUAUAUGCACCUGUGCCUAUAUCAGAUCCUUGGCUCCCAGCUUACUGGACAAAAAUAAAACUGGGCAAAAUGAGGAUGGUGCGCAUGACAUGGUCCUUUGCUGUCUUGUUCCUGUCUGGUCCUAAACAGUUGGAGAUAUCUGACAUCGCCAGAGAUAAGGUAGACCUUUGUACUCUGGAUUUUUUAAAUGCCGAUGAAGUCUGGCAAAGGAAGGAGAAACCGUGCUGCUUCUGUAGUCUGUAUAUCCUCCACAGUGCAUCUGCACCUGAAGAACCACAGCUGAAAAACCAGGCUCCCACUCCAGGAUACUACAGGGGUCCCUGCUGUGACAUGUAAGUCUAGGUACCCAUGGACAGAAAUGUUUCUAGUCUGAUGACGAGAUGAGAAGAAUCUGCUGACACUGCAAAAAAAUAGUCUCUCUAAAAUUCCCCUAAGAAUACAAAAAAUUAU
rnacentral:lncRNA from 1 species